rnacentral:rRNA from 1 species
CGGACGGGUGAGUAACGCGUGAGAAUCUGCCUUCAGGUCGGGGAUAACAGCUGGAAACGGCUGCUAAUACCGGAUGAGCCGAGAGGUAAAAGCAAAAGUGCCUGAAGAUGAGCUCGCGUCUGAUUAGCUAGUUGGUGGGGUAAGAGCCUACCAAGGCGACGAUCAGUAGCUGGUCUGAGAGGAUGAUCAGCCACACUGGGACUGAGACACGGCCCAGACUCCUACGGGAGGCAGCAGUGGGGAAUUUUCCGCAAUGGGCGCAAGCCUGACGGAGCAAUACCGCGUGAGGGAGGAAGGCCCUUGGGUUGUAAACCUCUUUUGUCAGGGAAGAAGGUCUGACGGUACCUGACGAAUCAGCAUCGGCUAACUCCGUGCCAGCAGCCGCGGUAAUACGGAGGAUGCAAGCGUUAUCCGGAUUUAUUGGGCGUAAAGGGUCCGCAGGUGGUUAUUCAAGUCUGCUGUCAAAGCGCGGAGCUUAACUCCGUACAGGCGGUGGAAACUGAGGAACUAGAGUCUGGUAGGGGUCGCGGGAAUUCCCAGUGUAGCGGUGAAAUGCGUAGAUAUUGGGAAGAACACCGGCGGCGAAAGCGCGCGACUGGACCGGAACUGACACUGGGGGACGAAAGCUAGGGGAGCGAAAGGGAUUAGAUACCCCUGUAGUC